rnacentral:rRNA from 1 species
AGAGUUCUUUCCUGGCUCAGAUUGAACGCUGGCGGCAGGCCUAACACAUGCAAGUCGAGCGGUAGAGAGAAGCUUGCUUCUCUUGAGAGCGGCGGACGGGUGAGUAAUGCCUAGGAAUCUGCCUGGUAGUGGGGGAUAACGUUCGGAAACGGACGCUAAUACCGCAUACGUCCUACGGGAGAAAGCAGGGGACCUUCGGGCCUUGCGCUAUCAGAUGAGCCUAGGUCGGAUUAGCUAGUUGGUGAGGUAAUGGCUCACCAAGGCGACGAUCCGUAACUGGUCUGAGAGGAUGAUCAGUCACACUGGAACUGAGACGCGGUCCAGACUCCUACGGGAGGCAGCAGUGGGGAAUAUUGGACAAUGGGCGAAAGCCUGAUCCAGCCAUGCCGCGUGUGUGAAGAAGGUCUUCGGAUUGUAAAGCACUUUAAGUUGGGAGGAAGGGCAGUAAAUUAAUACUUUGCUGUUUUGACGUUACCGACAGAAUAAGCACCGGCUAACUCUGUGCCAGCAGCCGCGGUAAUACAGAGGGUGCAAGCGUUAAUCGGAAUUACUGGGCGUAAAGCGCGCGUAGGUGGUUUGUUAAGUUGGAUGUGAAAUCCCCGGGCUCAACCUGGGAACUGCAUUCAAAACUGACUGACUAGAGUAUGGUAGAGGGUGGUGGAAUUUCCUGUGUAGCGGUGAAAUGCGUAGAUAUAGGAAGGAACACCAGUGGCGAAGGCGACCACCUGGACUAAUACUGACACUGAGGUGCGAAAGCGCGGGGAGCAAACAGGAUUAGAUACCCUGGUAGUCCACGCCGUAAACGAUGUCAACUAGCCGUUGGAAGCCUUGAGCUUUUAGUGGCGCAGCUAACGCAUUAAGUUGACCGCCUGGGGAGUACGGCCGCAAGGUUAAAACUCAAAUGAAUUGACGGGGGCCCGCACAAGCGGUGGAGCAUGUGGUUUAAUUCGAAGCAACGCGAAGAACCUUACCAGGCCUUGACAUCCAAUGAACUUUCUAGAGAUAGAUUGGUGCCUUCGGGAACAUUGAGACAGGUGCUGCAUGGCUGUCGUCAGCUCGUGUCGUGAGAUGUUGGGUUAAGUCCCGUAACGAGCGCAACCCUUGUCCUUAGUUACCAGCACGUAAUGGUGGGCACUCUAAGGAGACUGCCGGUGACAAACCGGAGGAAGGUGGGGAUGACGUCAAGUCAUCAUGGCCCUUACGGCCUGGGCUACACACGUGCUACAAUGGUCGGUACAGAGGGUUGCCAAGCCGCGAGGUGGAGCUAAUCCCAUAAAACCGAUCGUAGUCCGGAUCGCAGUCUGCAACUCGACUGCGUGAAGUCGGAAUCGCUAGUAAUCGCGAAUCAGAAUGUCGCGGUGAAUACGUUCCCGGGCCUUGUACUCACCGCCCGUC